GACGAACGCUGGCGGCGUGCUUAACACAUGCAAGUCGAACGGAAAGACCCUGCUUUUGUGGGGUGCUCGAGUGGCGAACGGGUGAGUAACACGUGAGUAACCUGCCCUUGACUUUGGGAUAACUUCAGGAAACUGGGGCUCAUACCGGAUAGGAGCUCCUGCUGCAUGGUGGGGGUUGGAAAGUUUCGGCGGUUGGGGAUGGACUCGCGGCUUAUCAGCUUGUUGGUGGGGUAGUGGCUUACCAAGGCUUUGACGGGUAGCCGGCCUGAGAGGGUGACCGGCCACAAUGGGACUAAGAUACGGCGCAGACUCCUACGGGAGGCAGCAGUGGGGAAUAUUGCACAAUGGGCGGAAGCCUGAUGCAGCAACGCCGCGUGCGGGAUGACGGCCUUCGGGUUGUAAACCGCUUUCGCCUGUGACGAAGCGUGAGUGACGGUAAUGGGUAAAGAAGCACCGGCUAACUACGUG
rnacentral:rRNA from 1 species